rnacentral:rRNA from 1 species
GACGAACGCUGGCGGCGUGCUUAACACAUGCAAGUCGAACGGAAAGGCCCUGCUUUUGUGGGGUGCUCGAGUGGCGAACGGGUGAGUAACACGUGAGUAACCUGCCCUUGACUUUGGGAUAACUUCAGGAAACUGGGGCUAAUACCGGAUAGGAGCUCCUGCUGCAUGGUGGGGGUUGGAAAGUUUCGGCGGUUGGGGAUGGACUCGCGGCUUGUCAGCUUGUUGGUGGGGUAGUGGCUUACCAAGGCUUUGACGGGUAGCCGGCCUGAGGGGGUGACCGGCCACAUUGGUACUGAGAUACGGCCCAGACUCCUACGGGAGGCAGCAGUGGGGAAUAUUGCACAAUGGGCGGAAGCCUGAUGCAGCAACGCCGCGUGCGGGAUGACGGCCUUCGGGUUGUAAACCGCUUUCGCCUGUGACGAAGCGUGAGUGACGGUAAUGGGUAAAGAAGCACCGGCUAACUACGUG